GAUGAACGCUGGCGGCGUGCCUAAUACAUGCGAGUCGAGCGAACGGACGAGAAGCUCGCUUUUCUGAUGUUAGCGGCGGACGGGUGAGUAACACGUGGAUAACCUACCUAUAAGACUGGGAUAACUUCGGGAAACCGGAGCUAAUACCGGAUAAUAUUUUGAACCGCAUGGUUCAAAAGUGAAAGACGGUCUUGCUGUCACUUAUAGAUGGAUCCGCGCUGCAUUAGCUAGUUGGUAAGGUAACGGCUUACCAAGGCAACGAUGCAUAGCCGACCUGAGAGGGUGAUCGGCCACACUGGAACUGAGACACGGUCCAGACUCCUACGGGAGGCAGCAGUAGGGAAUCUUACGCAAUGGGCGAAAGCCUGACGGAGCAACGCCGCGGGAGUGAUGAAGGUCUUCGGAUCGUAAAACUCUGUUAUUAGGGAAGAACAUAUGUGUAAGUAACUGUGCACAUCUUGACGGUACCUAAUCAGAAAGCCACGGCUAACUACGUG
rnacentral:rRNA from 1 species